rnacentral:rRNA from 1 species
GACGAACGCUGGCGGCGUGCCUAAUACAUGCAAGUUGAGCGAUGAAGCUUGGUGCUUGCACCCAUUUGAAGAGCAGCGAACGGGUGAGUAACGCGUGGGGAAUCUGCCUUUGAGCGGGGGACAACAUUUGGAAACGAAUGCUAAUACCGCAUAACAACUUUAAACAUAAGUUUUAAGUUUGAAAGAUGCAAUUGCAUCACUCAAAGAUGAUCCCGCGUUGUAUUAGCUAGUUGGUGAGGUAAAGGCUCACCAAGGCGAUGAUACAUAGCCGACCUGAGAGGGUGAUCGGCCACAAUGGGACUGAGACACGGCCCAAACUCCUACGGGAGGCAGCAGUAGGGAAUCUUCGGCAAUGGACGAAAGUCUGACCGAGCAACGCCGCGUGAGUGAAGAAGGUUUUCGGAUCGUAAAACUCUGUUGGUAGAGAAGAACGUUGGUGGGAGUGGAAAGCUCAUCAAGUGACGGUAACUACCCAGAAAGGGACGGCUAACUACGUG